CGGAUUUAUUGGGCGUAAGCGAGCGCAGGCGGUUAUUUAAGUCUGAUGUGAAAGCCUUCGGCUUAACCGAAGAAGUGCAUCGGAAACUGGGUAACUUGAGUGCAGAAGAGGACAGUGGAACUCCAUGUGUAGCGGUGGAAUGCGUAGAUAUAUGGAAGAACACCAGUGGCGAAGGCGGCUGUCUAGUCUGUAACUGACGCUGAGGCUCGAAAGCAUGGGUAGCGAACAGGAUUAGAUACCCUGGUAGUCCAUGCCGUAAACGAUGAGUGCUAAGUGUUGGAGGGUUUCCGCCCUUCAGUGCUGCAGCUAACGCAUUAAGCACUCCGCCUGGGGAGUACGACCGCAAGGUUGAAACUCAAAGGAAUUGACGGGGGCCCGCACAAGCGGUGGAGCAUGUGGUUUAAUUCGAAGCUACGCGAAGAACCUUACCAGGUCUUGACAUCUUCUGCCAAUCUUAGAGAUAAGACGUUCCCUUCGGGGACAGAAUGACAGGUGGUGCAUGGUUGUCGUCAGCUCGUGUCGUGAGAUGUUGGGUUAAGUCCCGCAACGAGCGCAACCCUUAUUAUCAGUUGCCAGCAUUYAGUUGGGCACUCUGGUGAGACUGCCGGUGACAAACCGGAGGAAGGUGGGGAUGACGUCAAAUCAUCAUGCCCCUUAUGACCUGGGCUACACACGUGCUACAAUGGACGGUACAACGAGUUGCGAAGUCGUGAGGCCAAGCUAAUCUCUUAAAGCCGUUCUCAGUUCGGAUUGUAGGCUGCAACUCGCCUACAUGAAGUUGGAAUCGCUAGUAAUCGCGGAUCAGCAUGCCGCGGUGAAUACGUUCCCGGGCCUUGUACACACCGCCCGUCACACCAUGAGAGUUUGUAACACCCAAAGCCGGUGGGGUAACCUUCGGGAGCCAGCCGUCUAA
rnacentral:rRNA from 2 species